UCCUGGCUCAGGACGAACGCUGGCGGCGUGCUUAACACAUGCAAGUCGAACGGAAAGGCCUCUUCGGAGGUACUCGAGUGGCGAACGGGUGAGUAACACGUGGGCAAUCUGCCCUGCACUUCGGGAUAAGCCUGGGAAACUGGGUCUAAUACCGGAUAGGACCUUUAGACGCAUGUCUUUUGGUGGAAAGCUUUUGCGGUGUGGGAUGGGCCCGCGGCCUAUCAGCUUGUUGGUGGGGUGAUGGCCUACCAAGGCGACGACGGGUAGCCGGCCUGAGAGGGUGUCC
rnacentral:rRNA from 1 species